GGCGGACGGGUGAGUAACACGUGGGCAACCUGCCUAUAAGACUGGGAUAACUUCGGGAAACCGGAGCUAAUACCGGAUACGUUCUUUUCUCGCAUGAGAGAAGAUGGAAAGACGGUUUACGCUGUCACUUAUAGAUGGGCCCGCGGCGCAUUAGCUAGUUGGUGAGGUAAUGGCUCACCAAGGCGACGAUGCGUAGCCGACCUGAGAGGGUGAUCGGCCACACUGGGACUGAGACACGGCCCAGACUCCUACGGGAGGCAGCAGUAGGGAAUCUUCCGCAAUGGACGAAAGUCUGACGGAGCAACGCCGCGUGAACGAAGAAGGCCUUCGGGUCGUAAAGUUCUGUUGUUAGGGAAGAACAAGUACCAGAGUAACUGCUGGUACCUUGACGGUACCUAACCAGAAAGCCACGGCUAACUACGUGCCAGCAGCCGCGGUAAUACGUAGGUGGCAAGCGUUGUCCGGAAUUAUUGGGCGUAAAGCGCGCGCAGGUGGUUCCUUAAGUCUGAUGUGAAAGCCCACGGCUCAACCGUGGAGGGUCAUUGGAAACUGGGGAACUUGAGUGCAGAAGAGGAAAGUGGAAUUCCAAGUGUAGCGGUGAAAUGCGUAGAGAUUUGGAGGAACACCAGUGGCGAAGGCGACUUUCUGGUCUGUAACUGACACUGAGGCGCGAAAGCGUGGGGA
rnacentral:rRNA from 1 species